rnacentral:misc_RNA from 1 species
CCAAACUUUCGAUUGAGUUUAGUUAGAACUCGAUCGGUUUAGUCGUUAUUGAGAUCUGAUAAUCUCAGGUGCUCGCAAGUCGCGUAUUCGCGUAUACACGGAGCGGUCUCGCGCUGCGCGUUCACUUGGCGCGAGACACUACCGUGUCUCUUGAUUUGAAUUAAUUAUAUUUUUUAUUAAUUGAUCUUUUCAUCCUGUAGCGGGAAAUGCCAUUUUGUUUAGUUCUCUUUAUUUGAUAGAUACGCAGAAUAAAAAAUUGCGAUUUAAUUUAUUCGGAGGGCGCUGGAUCGCUCUAAAGCGUGGAUCGGUCUAGGACGGGAGACGAAUACCUCACACCAUAGACUUGGGUGUAGGCGUCUGGUUUGCAGCGGCAAAUGGUGUCCGCUCCGGUGCUGUCUCUUAUGGCGGAACGCAUAUAGCGCGCCGGCAGCCCUACGCCUACGCUAAAGUCUUACGACUUCGUAGCAGUGUUGUUAGACGGGACGGUUUUUCUCGUGCAUGCGCGAGAAUUCGCAGUAUAAAUUGUCUAUUUUAUUUGAUUUUGUACAAUCUUGACUUAAAAAAAAAAUUUUAUAUAAUGUUUCAAUAUGUAGACAAAAUGUAGGGCUCCUAAAAAACCUAUAUAAAUCAGAUUUUUAUACUUAAUAAUGUUAUAUUUGACGUGCAUGCGCGAGAAAAAUCGUCCCGUCUAACAACACUGCUUCGUAGGGGCAGUUGACAGGGAAGGUCGUACGCUUCGCAGCGCGCACCUUCCCGCACCGUUGGCUUGUGUGUCUCCCGCGGGAUGGAUAACGACAGAGAGAGAGAGAGAGAGAGAGAACUAAAGCGCCCGUGUAUUGCGAGAGAACGCUGAAACGCGCUCUCUCAGCGGGUGACGGGGGCCGCCGCGUUCCGUACGGAACUGCAACUCUGUGCCAUGAUUCACCACUCGCAAUGACUAUAGAAGGAAGGUAACUGAACUGAAGCACCACCGAUGUUUCACUCGCGACGCGGAGAAAAAGAGGAAAAGAAAAAAAGAAAAAGAACUUGAUUUAGUUGCACUAAUUUUAAUGAUAAAAAGAAAAGAGAAUUAUGUAUUUAAUGAGAACUCGCACCUUCACAAUUGAUCGUGUUCGUUUGAUUAGAUUGAAUUCGCACGUAUGCACUCGCUACGGUCGCACUUACGUUCUAUAAUUAUAAAGCAGAACUAAUUAAUAAAUGAAGGGAGAAAUUGCCACCUCGAGUCUCUCUAAAGUAAGAUCGCGUAAAUAUUCCAACUUCAACCUGAAUCAAUUGAAAUUAUUCUAAGUUCAACUCGUGAAAAUAACCUACAGCACAUGAUAUCCUAUGUAUCAUCCCAUUUUAAUACUCAAUGUACUGUGAUCAUCGUAGAAUGUUGAGAUCAUCGCUAUAAUAUCUUUUACAGUAUUAUUCGAUUUUCUUCCGCGCGCGUAUAAUCUCAGGUUUGACUCAAGAUACGGAAACGGUACGUAUACUAACGACAUCUGCAUACGUCGAAUCAUUAUACUGUCCUAGUACGGAGUGGUACGAAGUACGGACCAACGCAGACCAACGGACCCGCAUGUGUCCGCAUAGUGAUAUAUGUAUGUUAACAGAAUUAAUUAUAUUGAAGCGUAAUUGGUAUAAAGGUGCUUGCUUUUGCAGUUCAAUUUGUAUUAUUUGGAUUGGCUGCUGGCUAUUUGACAAUCAACGCUGUAGAAAUUUACGACAGGUAUGCUUUAUUCAAUACAUAAUAAAAAUUAAUUUAGUUAAAA